UAUGUUCACAUAUUUUUGCAAGAGCAGAUGAUAGGGCAAUAGGUCUAUAACUGGUGGCUUUAGAUGGACUCUGACCUGGUUUGAGUAUAGGAAUGAUCACUUGAUUUUUCCAAGAUGGAGGAAAGAAUAGGGGAUGCCAUCGGCCCCGGGAGAAGUGUCAACUAAGCCAUCCAAUGCCAGAAGGAGUUCUGAAAAAGAGAAAGGGGAGUCUAAACUAUGAGUUGAUGAGAGAGGGAUUGGAGGUGAAGGGAGAUAGUCUUCAUUAGGAACUGAAGGGGGUGACAACCUAUCUGCAAAGGAUUCAAGCCAUACAGAUGGAUCUACACUUGAGUCAUGCUCUGAAGGAUUGUAAGAACCCCUAAAUUUUUUAACUUGUUUCCAUACAGUUGUAGAUGGAGUACAGGGAGAUAAGCUCUGGCAAAAAUUGAUCCAACCUUGUUUUUUCUUUUUGGCAAAUAAAUUAGUGGCCUUGG